AUUUUUGUGUUGGAAUAGAUUGGCCUAUCCCCUUGUGUCAUCGAUGUGCUACUUCAAAGAUGUGAGGACAAGAACAUACACCUGCGAGUAGUCUAUGACAUUGCCUGUGUUGUUGCCUCACAUUUCCAGAGAUGCAAUGUGUAGGACAAUCCAGUGGAAACCGCUUAUCUCAAAUCUGUCUGGGUCAAACUAAUCACUAUAAGCAGAGGAGUGUUAUAACCAAUUUAGUUUCCUUUGUUUAUUUUUAUGCAGAUUACCAUCUUUUUUUUUAUAAUAAUUACAUGAAUAUAAAGUAAUAAAAUGAACAGCUUUGCUAUUUGUAUUAAUUUAAGAUAAAACAACAUAAGCUGACCCUUAAGGUCCUCUCCUGCUCCGGGCCUUGUCUGAAUGGUCAGGGUGAAGGCAUUACACUCCACUUACAUUACAUACAGUAUACCUACCUGCUGCUGUGAGAGUGCGGGGAUUUUAAUUAUGCACCAUUAAAGUCCCAUAACACCAGCAGCGCAGGAACAGGAGGGGAAAAUAACUCACUAGACCACAGCAGUGUGAGUAAAGGAAAACAUCACAUGACGCGCAACUGCAGGCAUAUGCAUACACACCAAACAUACCCAAUAUGAACAUCAUAAGCGGACUUCUUGAUUACUAUAAACAACUUAUUUACACAGCAUUUCUAUAGGAAUGAUUCUGCCCCAAGAUUUUUGAUUGACACUAACCGUGAUCACUAUAAGCAGUAAGAUCAUGCUCAAUGUCAGUGUACAGUAUGCGAUAUUUUAUAUCUUUGCUUUAAUCAUAGAUCAAGUACAGUACCAGACGGCUCGAUGGGUUUGGGCUCACAGACGGGGAAGGAAUGGAAAGGCUGUGGUCUUUCCUCCAGAGUCACAAAGGAGAUGACUCCAUCUCAUCGCCUUGACCUAUGCCCUUUUGCAUUAUGGACGGAGGAAAUCAACUGACCUAGAGUUGCAGCUUCUGCAAAGACUAGACAAAGCAGAGAAAAUAUCGAUUCUAGCUCAAGAAGAUAUCUGCUUUGUCAUCUGUCAUCAGAGGGGCACCAGUGUUGGUUUCUGAAGGAGACAUGGAGAGAUGAAAAAGGGAGAUGGAGCAAGCCCAACAGAAACCAAUAAGCAGAAGACUUGAUGCCCGAUGACGCCUGAGAUAGGCACAGGCUCCCCGUGACCCGAGGUAGUUCGGAUAAGCGGUAGAAAAUGAGUGAAUGAGAGUGAAAGGCAGAAGAAUCAGAAGAAUAUUGGUUCAAGCUGUAUGUGACUAUCAAAAGUACAGACAUAUAUAACAUUAUACUACACAAGACAGGACAAUACAGACUGUACACAGGAGGAAAUAAAUGGGUGAAUCUUCAUCACAAACAGAAGGCAGAAGGGGGAACAUGGAAGAACCAGAAUUAUUACUGUGUGAUGUACCAUGAAAGGUUUAGCUCCGUUUCACGUGGAAGACCAGUUCUCUCCAGCAUUAGAAAGCUAAACCUAUAUUAACACGGGUCCUGCUUCUUGCACACUGUCUCUCCACACUGGUUCAUGGAGCACGACAGGCACUGGCCUGCUCUCGCCAAGGUGUUGAUGAGUGUGUACCAGUUGGAGAUACUAGAUGAGGACUCCAUUGUGCGCUGGUUCUCUCAGGGAGUUCAGACCAAGAGGAGCAGAACCCUGUGCAAGAACCCCGGGCUGCUGAAGUUCAUCUAGUGGUUAGAGGAGGCUGAGGAGUCUUUAGAGGGAGAUAACUGAACACCAGUCAGAACACCAGUGACCCAGUGCCACUGGAAGUCAUGCAGGCCUAUGCCAUUACACUGCCUCCACUAUGUUUUACAGAUGAUGUUGUAAGCUUUGGAUCAUGAAGGCUGUUCCAAGCCUUCUCCAUACUUUUCUCUUCCCGUCAUUCUGGUAAAGGUUGAUCUUAGUUUCAUCCGUCCAAAGAAUGCUUUUCCAGAACUGGUUGGGGCUUUUUAGAUGUUUUUUUUGACAAAGUCUAAUCUGGCCUUUCUAUUCUUUAUGCUUAUGAAUGGUUUGCAAUCAUCUACUACUGUUGUCUUCCGUGGACAAAAGCUGAGAGACUUUCAGCCCACUAUACCUAUACAACUAUAGCUUGAAUAAGUUUUUGAAAAUACCUAAAAAAAAAACUAAAAUUGUGCCUGUGUCUAAAUAUAUAUGGACCUAACUGUAUAUGAAAAUUGUAAUCUAGUUUGAAAGAUUAUCAGUCAAGAACUAAAUGUAUUGUUGCAAUUUAGAAAUUUGGCCAACAACUUAUAAGAUCAAAUAGUAUUCAUAACAGUAAGUUUUAGUUAUGUCAUUUUUUGCUUUUAUAUUAAUUUUCUUGUUGUUGUUGUUGUUGAUAGUAGUAGAAGAAGCAAUAUUCUAAAAUGUGCAAAUGUAGCACUGGGUAAAAUAAUAAUAAUAAUAAUAAUAAUAGUAACCUGCAACUAUUUGUAACCAACCAAGGUUUUUUUUAAAAUUACAAUUUACUAUGAUUACCACCACUACAACAACUACUACUACUAAUAAUAAUAACAAUAAUAAAAGCAGCAGCAACAGUAAAACUACUACUACUUAAAGGAGUAAAUUGUAGGAGCAAAUAGAAGCAAAAUUGCCAAUUAAACAUUCAUCGUAAUUCUAGAGCUCUGUACCUGAGGUCAUAAUUAGCUCAUAAUAAUAUCAUCACUAGUGAUUUUCGCUCUCUUUCUGUUUAAACACAAACACAAAACAAAUAAUAAAGACUUUUUUCUUUAACUUAUUUUGUCCAUGCUAUUAUAUUUUAAUUUGUAAUUACAAGUUAGAUAAUCAUUCAGCCUUCUGCUUCUUUACUCAGCUCCAGCUCCAGUUGGAUUCCUGCUUCAUUAAAUAUUCAGAUACACUAAGAAGAGAUGACAACUACAUGUGCUCGUUGAGGACAACAACCUCAUUAUCAAUACAACAUAGUCAGACUGUAUAUUUAUAAUCACACCUGCCAGUGUCACCCACAUGAGGAUGAUGUCCCCCCUUAAGUCUGGUUCUUCUCAAGGU